UUGAACGCUGGCGGCAGGCCUAACACAUGCAAGUCGAACGCCCCGCAAGGGGAGUGGCAGACGGGUGAGUAACACGUGGGAACCUUCCCUAUAGUACGGAAUAGCCCAGGGAAACUUGGAGUAAUACCGUAUACGCCCGAAAGGGGAAAGAAUUUCGCUAUAGGAUGGGCCCGCGUAGGAUUAGCUAGUUGGUGAGGUAACGGCUCACCAAGGCGACGAUCCUUAGCUGGUUUGAGAGAACGACCAGCCACACUGGGACUGAGACACGGCCCAGACUCCUACGGGAGGCAGCAGUGGGGAAUAUUGGACAAUGGGCGCAAGCCUGAUCCAGCCAUGCCGCGUGAGUGAUGAAGGCCUUAGGGUUGUAAAGCUCUUUUGGCGGGGACGAUAAUGACGGUACCCGCAGAAUAAGUCCCGGCUAACUUCGU
rnacentral:rRNA from 1 species